ensembl:lncRNA
GUCGCGGAGAGGCGGAGUCUCCAUUCUGCUGCUGUCACCGCGCGCAGGGAAGCAGGCCGGCUCCAUCUCAUCACGACAUCAUCCUCCUCCUCCUCCUCCUCCUCCUCCGUCCACCGCGACAACCCGCUUCCGCUCCCACGGAACACACGGACAGGGACGAUUUCGAUACAGAAAACAUCGUUUUGCAUCGACAGCGGCAAAGAUGCUGGCCUGCGCAGAGAUGAUCACCAUGUGCCUCCAGUCCGCAAAGCACGAUCACCUGAGGAAGCAGCAGGAGCUCUGCCACAACCACAAUCAAGGCAUCUCCCUCUUUCAUGAUGUUGGACAAGAUGCAUGAUUGCACUGUUUUCAGCGAGCGUUUGGCUCGCUGGUCGUCAUGGAAAGGCGCAAUAUGAGUAACACGCUGUCCUCCGUUCUGAUCUUUGUGAAUGGGUGUUAAUGAGCCUCCCAUUCACAUCGUGCAUGUGCAGCAGCCCCGUUGCAUAAGAAAGGUGACUGCAUGCCCACCAGUGCGUGAAUGACGUGACAAAUGGUUUGAGUUAUUUUUUCCAAUAUGAUAACGACCCUCACGAAAUUGGUUGUACCCUAAAUAAAACAACAACACAACAUCGUGUGUACAUCAAAUAUGAUAUGGUAUCCAUUUUAUAGGACCAAGCUCCACACAGCUCCAAACAGAAACAUAUAAAUAGAUGUCCAUUUUUGAAUUAUUCAAUCAUGCAAACAUCAUCAAACAUGCACAGAAAUGCUCUCUAACAGCUAUUUUUUCGUACUGUAAGAACAAUAUCACAGUGAUACUUUCAUAUAAAAGAUGGCAAUACUGAAGCAGCGCAUACAGUAUUACAUUAUAUUUUAAAUACUGCUAUAUGUUUGCAGAUUUUAUGGCCCUUUUCCGAUUCACGGACUAAAAUACAGUACAAUGGAUUAGCUAAAUAAAAUUCUCUGAUCUCCUUGAGGCAGAUUUCUGGCCAGCGAGGUGAACAUGAGACCCCAGCAAGUACUAAUUGAGUUUUUAAGCCAGUUAGCAUCUAUUUUCUCCGGCCCGACACCGUUCUCCUCUGAACUUUAACAUCUUCUUUAACAUCUGCGGGAAGCAAAAGCACGAUCACUGGAGUGCAACUUGUCCAACUUACCUGUCCGUUCUUUUUUCUUUUAUUCCUCUGUCUUCCUAAAACACUCAUCUGCAGGUUUUUAAUUUGCUCUUUUCUCACUAUAAGCAGACUCAUUACAGUUUUUUCUUUUCCUCUUUGAGUAUCUCUCUCUGUCUAUUUAUAUAAUUAGACAGGCUGAAGGAUUCAUUGUUG